rnacentral:rRNA from 1 species
GACCGAAUGGUUGUAGAUUAUUGUCCCGUUAAUUUGGUCGUGAUAAAGAACAAGUAUCCGCUCCCCAGGAUAAAUGACCUGUAUGAUCAGCACGCUGGAUCCUCAGUCUUUUCCAAGAUGGAUUUGAGGUUAGGCUACCACCAAAUCAAGAUCAGAAACGGGGACAUUCCUAAGACGACUUUUGCCACUCGUUAUGGCCAGUACGAGUACACCGUUAUGUCCUUUGGUCUAACCAAUGCUCCAGCUACAUUCUCCCGCUUGAUGAACUCCAUCUUCAUGGAGUACUUAGAUAAGUUCGUCGUGGUUUACCUCGAUGAUAUCCCUAUUUACUCGAAGAAUGAGGAAGAGCAUGCCAAACAUCUUAGACUUGUGUUAGAAAAACUCAGAGAGCAC